rnacentral:tRNA from 1 species
UAUUUUAAUAGCUUAUAUUUAAAGUUUAAUAUUGAAGAUAUUAAGAGGACCUUGGUCUUAAAAUAUU